AGUGGGGAAUAUUGGACAAUGGGGGAAACCCUGAUCCAGCCAUGCCGCGUGUGUGAAGAAGGCCUUCGGGUUGUAAAGCACUUUCAGUGGGGAGGAAAGGUUGAUGGUUAAUAGCCAUUAGCUGUGACGUUACCCACAGAAGAAGCACCGGCUAACUCCGUGCCAGCAGCCGCGGUAAUACGGAGGGUGCAAGCGUUAAUCGGAAUUACUGGGCGUAAAGCGUGCGCAGGCGGUCUGUUAAGCGAGAUGUGAAAGCCCCGGGCUCAACCUGGGAACUGCAUUUCGAACUGACAGACUAGAGUCUUGUAGAGGGGGGUAGAAUUCCAGGUGUAGCGGUGAAAUGCGUAGAGAUCUGGAGGAAUACCGGUGGCGAAGGCGGCCCCCUGGACAAAGACUGACGCUCAUGCACGAAAGCGUGGGGAGCAAA
rnacentral:rRNA from 1 species